rnacentral:rRNA from 1 species
GCCGACCUGAGAGGGUGAUCGGCCACACUGGGACUGAGACACGGCCCAGACUCCUACGGGAGGCAGCAGUAGGGAAUCUUCCGCAAUGGACGAAAGUCUGACGGAGCAACGCCGCGUGAACGAAGAAGGUUUUCGGAUCGUAAAGUUCUGUUGUUAGGGAAGAACAAGUACCGUUCAAAUAGGGCGGUACCUUGACGGUACCUAACGAGGAAGCCCCGGCUAACUACGUGCCAGCAGCCGCGGUAAUACGUAGGGGGCAAGCGUUGUCCGGAAUUAUUGGGCGUAAAGCGCGCGCAGGCGGUUUUUUAAGUCUGAUGUGAAAUCUUGUGGCUCAACCACAAGCGGUCAUUGGAAACUGGAGAACUUGAGGACAGAAGAGGAGAGGGGAAUUCCACGUGUAGCGGUGAAAUGCGUAGAUAUGUGGAGGAACACCAGUGGCGAAGGCGACUCUCUGGUCUGUAACUGACGCUGAGGCGCGAAAGCGUGGGGAGCGAACAGGAUUAGAUACCCUGGUAGUCCACGCCGUAAACGAUGAGUGCUAGGUGUUAGGGGGUUUCCGCCCCUUAGUGCUGCAGUUAACGCAUUAAGCACUCCGCCUGGGGAGUACGGCCGCAAGGCUGAAACUCAAAAGAAUUGACGGGGACCCGCACAAGCGGUGGAGCAUGUGGUUUAAUUCGAAGCAACGCGAAGAACCUUACCAGGUCUUGACAUCCUCUGAACAUACGAGAGAUCGUGUUUUCCCUUCGGGGACAGAGUGACAGGUGGUGCAUGGUUGUCGUCAGCUCGUGUCGUGAGAUGUUGGGUUAAGUCCCGCAACGAGCGCAACCCUUAAUCUUAGUUGCCAGCAUUUAGUUGGGCACUCUAAGGUGACUGCCGGUGACAAACCGGAGGAAGGUGGGGACGACGUCAAAUCAUCAUGCCCCUUAUGACCUGGGCUACACACGUGCUACAAUGGAUGGUACAAAGGGCCGCGAAACCGCGAGGUCAAGCAAAUCCCAUAAAACCAUUCUCAGUUCGGAUUGCAGGCUGCAACUCGCCUGCAUGAAGCCGGAAUCGCUAGUAAUCGUGGAUCAGCAUGCCACGGUGAAUACGUUCCCGGGUCUUGUACACACCGCCCGUCACACCACGAGAGUUGGCAACACCCGAAGUCGGUGAGGUAACCUUUU